UCCUCUCUUCCUACCCGCCCCCACCUAAUCAGUCACGAAACCCUGUCAGCUCUACCCUUUAACGUCCCCAGAGCCCGCUGGCGUCUUGCCAUGGCCGUUACCCGUUCUCCAGUGCCGGUCCUCAUUAUCUCUCCUCUGGAAUCGAUAGCUCUGACUGGUCUCGCUUUCUCUCUCUCUUGCCCUUCACUCCACCUCUCAUUUAUCCUCCCCGCUGCUGCCACGGUCUGCUUUCUAAGGCGCAUCUGUUCCUGUCACCAUUCUGAUGAAAGCGUCCUGGGAGGCUUCGUGACCUGCAGGACGUCCAAAUGCCUUGGCACCUUCUGGCGUGCCCCGAUUUCCCCGACUCAGCCUUGCUCUAGCUCACCGGAUAAUGCCGUUUUCUGAAAUGACCCCGGUGUGGAGUCCUCACCUGUGCUAUUUCUCUGCCAAGUGGGCUUUCUUCUCUCCUGGCUUUCAGACUGGGUGCCACCCAUUUUUCAAGGCCUAACUCACAAGCCUCUUGAGUUAUGAAAAUUGAGCUCAUAUGGAGAGGUUAACUAUUAAGGAAAAAAUAGUUAUAAGGCUCAUGCAUAUGCUGCUAGGCAAUGUUCAAGUAUUGUGUGGAAGGCAGAUUCUUUGAUUGUCUGAAAGGUCACCGAGCCCACAGCUGGGUGCGGAAUGACAUCCAAGGAAAAGAAUUUCUGUUGCUUUGACAUACAAAGGAGACAAUAGUAUUUAGCACCAACCUGCACUUUCCAAUGCCAACCCUAGAUGGCUGCAAUACUACAAAUCUACCAGUAGAUGACGCUACAGGCUACAUUAUUGUGUACGUCUCCAGCUGUCUUUUUUUUUUUUUUUUUUUUUUUUU